GUCGAACGAGAAAGGGGAGCAAUCCCUGAGUAAAGUGGCGUACGGGUGAGUAACACGUGAGUAACCUGCCCUUGACUCUGGGAUAAGCGUUGGAAACGACGUCUAAUACCGGAUACGACCUCUGAAGGCAUCUUCUGGAGGUGGAAAGAAUUUCGGUCAAGGAUGGACUCGCGGCCUAUCAGCUAGUUGGUGAGGUAACGGCUCACCAAGGCGACGACGGGUAGCCGGCCUGAGAGGGUGACCGGCCACACUGGGACUGAGACACGGCCCAGACUCCUACGGGAGGCAGCAGUGGGGAAUAUUGCACAAUGGGCGCAAGCCUGAUGCAGCAACGCCGCGUGAGCGAUGACGCCCUUCGGGGUGUAAAGCUCUUUCGGCAGGGACGAUAAUGACGGUACCUGAAGAAGAAGCUGCGGCUAACUACGUGCCAGCAGCCGCGGUAAUACGUAGGCAGCGAGCGUUGUUCGGAGUUACUGGGCGUGAAGAGUGCGUAGGCGGUUUUCUAAGUUUGGUGUGAAAUCUCCCGGCUUAACUGGGAGGGUGCGCCGAAGACUGGAAGGCUUGAGUAUGGGAGAGGUAAGCGGAAUUCCUGGUGUAGCGGUGGAAUGCGCAGAUAUCAGGAGGAACACCGAUGGCGAAGGCAGAUCUCUGGGCCGUAACUGACGCUGAGGAGCGAAAGCGUGGGGAGCGAACAGGAUUAGAUACCCUGGUAGUCCACGCCGUAAACGUUGGGAACUAGAUGUGGGGACCAUUCCACGGUCUCCGUGUCGCAGCUAACGCAUUAAGUUCCCCGCCUGGGGAGUACGGCCGCAAGGCUAAAACUCAAAGGAAUUGACGGGGGCCCGCACAAGCGGCGGAGCAUGCGGAUUAAUUCGAUGCAACGCGAAGAACCUUACCAAGGCUUGACAUAUACCGGAAACGGCUAGAAAUAGUCGCCCCGCAAGGUCGGUAUACAGGUGGUGCAUGGUUGUCGUCAGCUCGUGUCGUGAGAUGUUGGGUUAAGUCCCGCAACGAGCGCAACCCUCGUUCUAUGUUGCCAGCACGUAAUGGUGGGAACUCAUAGGAGACUGCCGGGGUCAACUCGGAGGAAGGUGGGGAUGACGUCAAAUCAUCAUGCCCCUUAUGUCUUGGGCUUCACGCAUGCUACAAUGGCCGGUACAAAGGGCUGCAAUACCGUAAGGUGGAGCGAAUCCCAAAAAGCCGGUCUCAGUUCGGAUUGAGGUCUGCAACUCGACCUCAUGAAGUCGGAGUCGCUAGUAAUCGCAGAUCAGCAACGCUGCGGUGAAUACGUUCCCGGGCCUUGUACACACCGCCCGUCAAGUCAUGAAAGUCGGUAACACCCGAA
rnacentral:rRNA from 1 species